GCGGAGAUGGAAGGGCUCGUUGCGGUGCUCUGUUCUGGCAAAGGAACUGGGUGCGUUGGCAGGCGAGAGUGAUGAAUUCUGCUUUUAACGUCGUCUCCGUGGCAUUCUGCCUGAAAGAUGGGCAUGGAAGUGGUGCUGAGGGAUGUGGGCUGAAUCGAGAAAACAGGGACUUUUGUCUUUAGGGUGAGAAAUUUUCCGGUCCUUAGGAGGCACCGUGCUGCUGCAGUCGCAUUGGUCUUCCAUGCGUGCCUUCUAAAACAUUUCUUUUUUCUUUCACUACUAAAAAUUUAGCACUGUGUCUUUGAUAUUAGAACUUAGUUGCACACCUUCUCCCAUACGAUCAUAUUUAAGAAGCUUUACAUCUUCAAUCAUCCUCGACUGUGGGUUUUUUUUUUUUUUUUUGGAAUCACUAAUUGCUGUAUUUAGCUUUUCUAAAACAUUUCCUUCUCGAACAGGUCUCCCCGUGUCCAUUGCUAUCUCACAUUUCUUGAGAACAGUACAUUUCUGUAGUUCUAAUGUUAGAUCCUAGUAUACCUACCCACCAUUCUUCUUUCCCACAAGGUCAUCCUAGAGAGGAUUUUGAUCUGAGUUUCUCUAAAAAACAGAUGUUCCCCACCUUUUCUAUCAACUAUCAAAUUACUAUAAAGGUGUACUCGGAUUUUUCAAUGUCCUCCUGCUCUGAUAGCUCCAUUAUGCGAUUAUGUUAGUGGAUAACUAACUAUGUUUGCAUUACCUUGCUGUAGUAUAACACGCACCAAGUUUUUGUUUAAAAUAAUUGAGGACAAAUAUCCUGUCAAACUUAAAAUAUAAAUUGCAAUUGUUCCUCAGUAAAAUACAGCUGUCUCUGAUACCCAGAAGACUGUUUUCAGAAAGGAUACCCACAUACAUAUCCCAAAAUCUGCAGAUUACAUAACAUGGUAUAUUUGCAUAUAAUCUAUACACAUCUUUCUCUAUACUUUGUCAUUUCUAGACUGCUUAUAAUGCCUAAUAGAAUGUAAAUGCUAUGCAAAUAAUUGCUAUAUUGUAUGGUUUAGGGCAUAAAGACUAGGGGGAAAAGGCAGUACAUGUUGGGUACUGAUGCAGAAUUUGAUCUGAUUGGUUAAAUCCGUGGUUGCAGAACCCAUGGAUAUGAGAACUGGCAGUAUAAUUCAGUUAUUACUUCUUGGUUACAUAUUGACAAACUAUGAGAAGUUAAAUCUGAACUACCAGAAUCGUGGUGAAAGCACUCUGAGAAAAAUAAAAUAUCAGAAAUGUUUUAAGGGAAUGUAAACUGACAAGAAUCAUAUAUGAAUCUAAUCUAGUAAUGUAAAGAAGUAAAUUUAAACAUAGAGCUUACAUGGAUAUGUCAUACCUGAGCAACAGUGGCUAUAAUUCAAGAGGAUCAUACAGGUAAAUACAAUGUUCAUCUAGCUUUAUAGAAGUCUCAUAUUUUGUGUAAAACUGAUAUGUGUUUUUAUGAUUAGUAGCAGCUUCAUUUUUCUGAGGACAGACUGUCUCUUGUAGGCUGCAAAUUGUGCAUCUUGAUGAUAAGAAGUUCCUGUGCUUGCUGAGGAUUAAGUUGAGUCAAGAAUCAUCAAACUCUGUCUGUAAAGGUCAUGACAGCCCAUGUUGUACCUUGCAUUACAGUAGUACUGACAAUUCAUUCACUUUGCAAGGGAUAAAGGUACCAUGAUGUUUCUUUUUUUGAAAAUUUUGCAUUGGGGUUAUGGAUACUCAAGGUAAAUUUAGGCAUCUGUUUUCAUUAUUCCUAGGUCCCCAAAGUUGGGAAACUCUAGAUUGUAGUGCAUCUAAUAGCAGUUGUUACAAAAAUAGUGAGGGGCAACCUAGCACCCCACUUAGAAUAAUAGCUUUUUGACAUUCCUCAAGCUAUUUUCCCUGACCUUUCAUCAUGUUGACUUUUUCAAUAGGGAGAAGUGUAGAAACUGCAGCCCAUGGAGUGAUUGUGACCAUUUAUGUUUCUCAUAUGACAGGCCUCAGUUUUCAUUCCCAUUCGUUGCCAUAAAGCAAAAGAAACACAAUGGGUAGUAGCUUAUUUUUUGUAUCUACUUUGGCUUGGAUAUUGGUGGUAUGGAGACCAGGCCGAUGCUGGCGGAGUCUGGGAGGGGCAGAGAUGGAAGGGCUCCUUUGAUUUGUGGCUGUAUGUAGCAUAGUGGUUAAAAGGUUAGCUGCUGUAAGAAGGAUGUGAGGACAUUUAGAGAAUUUGAAGAUUUGGGUGGGAGAUGGGUGUCUAUUUCCUGAUCCCUUGAUCAUGUUCAUUUAUGUGUCUGUAUAACCUUUAUUCGAGGCUUGAUUUUAGAAAUAAAAAUAUAUAUCUUCAUUUUUUUGUAGGAAAGAAAACAAAAAAGAGAUAAGGUGAAAAUGAUUUUUUCCCCAAGAGCAGUAAAUCUUUAUGACAGUAGAAACUCAACACUAUACACUGACACUGUGGGGUCCCUGCAGUUUCAGAAGUAUGUUUCUGUGAGAAAAGAGGGAGAGGGAGAGGGAGGGGGAGAGGGAGAGGGAGAGGGAGACUUCAUUUCUGGGAGAGGGAGAGGGAGAGGGAGACUUCAUUUCUUUUCUCCCCACUGGAUCUGAAAGGGAGUUAUCUCACCUAUAUCCAGAUACCCUCAAUUGUCACACAUGUGUUACCAUAGAAACCUAGCUUCUUUCUUCCUUUCUGUGAAAGAUGUUGGAAAAGGUGGAACAAAGUGGGAAAUAAAAUACACUGUGUUCUGGGACUUCCUGAUGCGCACAAGAAGCAAAUACAUAAAGAAAUUUAGUACAAAUAAGUUAAUAGAAGAUGUUUGUAAUAUGACCGGUACUUAUUGGCUCUAAAACCCUGAUUCAAAUUGCUUCCUUUUAAUACGUGCAUGUCUCUGAUUAAUCAUAAAGAGAAAGGACAUAUAAAGUACAUUAGCACCUGUGAAGGGCUGCUGGCAAUUAUAAAAGGAACAGAUGAAAUUUUCCUAGCCUCUGAGGCUCCUAAUACAUUGAGAAACAAGUCCACAUGAGGAGUGGAAAGGAAGGGGCAAAUAAGCUUGCUCUUCUUUUGAAAAUGUGACAUGUCUUAGUGCUUUCGGAAAGAAAAAGAAUUAGAGUAUAGACACUGAAUGCAUAUGUAAACAAGUCAAUGAGGAAACCUGUUUGUUAAGAAAGCAAAUGUUUCAAAAGACAACUUUAAUCGGAAAACAUUUCUAAAAGAAACUGCUUAAUGAUUAAAAUGUAGGGAAGAAAACCAAAAAACCCUGAAGAAUCUAAAGAGCUCAAGGGUUCUGAGGGAAGAUGGGAAGAACCUAGAUCCUGGUUGAGGACAUUGAACCUCAAGCCCACCCUGGAAAUGCUCUCCUGUGGCUCAUGGCUAAGUAAACAUCCAGUGUCCUUUGCUGUAAGUCUAUUAGAUUCUCUGUACCCUAUAGUCAGAUACAUCUCAACUCUUACAGAAAUUGGGAGGAAUUCCAGACAAAAUGGUGUUUUAAAAAAUUCAGCAAGCAUUUGUGACUACUUUCAUUCUCUUGAAUGAAAUGAUGAAUGAUAUGAUAAAGAUAUUUAUUAAACACUCAGUAUGUAUAUUUUUCUGAGUUCUGAACAGUAAAUGAAUAGCCAAAUGAGCUUGUGUUCUAGCAGGAGAGAAAUACAUUAAUAAACCAAUCGCAUUAUGUAAAAUUAAUGCCAAUAAGGGAAAAUGAGAGAGUUUAAAGGGUGUGUAAUAAAAUAUAGAUAAAUAAUAAAAGAAAACAUAAUUAAAGAAGGGAACAAAAUUAUAGAUGCAAAUGCCUCCUAAGAACAUGAUAAUAUAAUGUCUACUUUGUACAUGAAUUCCUAGAGGGCAAGAGAAACAGGAAGGAAACCUGAAUGAGAUAGUCAAGGAAAGCUGAGGCCAAUUCAUACUGGAAACACCUUUUGAAGGAGGUGGACAAAGGAAAGGCUAGAUGGGACAGAUGGGAGGAUGCAAGGAUCCAGAAGAGCAAAGGAAAAAAGCGGGGAUUGAGUAGGAGCAAGAUGAGGGAGAUUCCAAAUCACUGGAUCCAUAAUCCCCCUCACAGUAGCGUUACAGGGAUGCCACUUGGGAAAUAUCAGAAGUUAGAACUCUCAACGCAAGAUUAUAAAAGGUGCAAAACUAAUGUAAGGAGAAAAAGUGGGAGUACAGAGUGCAUUUGAAAUUAAGGCAUUAUUCAAAAUAAUGAAUAAUUUGAAAUGUGGGCGUCAUCAAAGAAUUGUCAUGAGAAGUAAUCAUGGACCCAAGGGCACUGAGGAGCAAUUCAAACUUUCACAAAUAAAAGAAAAAUGAAGAGUAGAAAAGAAAGUACAGACAGGUAGGAUAAAAGUCUUGCUUAUGGUUAUUUUUUAUGGUAGUGAUUAUUGACAUGCAUUAUGUAAAAAUGGAUUUGAUUGAAAGAUGCAUUUCAUUAGCCUAGUAAUAUGUAAAGGUGGUCUUUUUGGUAAAUAAUGUAAUUUAAAGUGUUUUCCUUGGAUUUUUUUUUUUUUUUUUUGUAACUUGCUGUGGAAAAGUCUUUUCAGUAACGAAACCAUAAAGAACAAUAAUUUACAUGUAAGUGAAGCAUUUGGGCAAUAAAAAGAAAAAUAAUGUAGAUGUGCCAGAUGUAAUAGUAGAGCAAUAAUAAUAAUAAAUACUUUUAGUGAAAAUCAGAAUUUUGUUAGGCAUAAUGUGGUUUAUGGUCGAGUAUAGCUAAGAAAAUUUUCUGGGGGGAAAAAAAACAAAAACAAGCUACAGUGGCCAAUGAACACCUUGAUGUUACUGGAGGUAGAAUUUACCGUUCACAUUUGUGACCCCAGGUGUCACCUGAACAGAUAUCGGUCUUUACACUAAUAGCACAUUGAGUAAAUUGGACAAAUCCUCUACAUGAUUCUGAUUUGCCCUGGGGUUAAAAAUCAACAAUAUUAUUAAAUAUUCAUUCUACAUUUUCUGAAGUAAAAAAUCACACUUAAAGUCAAUGGUGAUCCUGAAAAUGUCUACGAGGAUACAGAAUAACAAGAUUACAUACUUCAAAUCCAGAAUUUAACUUAAAUUCUUCCUCCCCAUUUGUCCCUUACACAUGAAUUAAUCUCUCACCAGAUUCCCCACUUUAUACCUCUCUUCUCAUGUGUACCACAGUUUAUCUUGUAUUAUAUUUAUCUCCAUCUGUCAUUUUAGCUGGUUUGGGGACCCAUGAAAGUUGGGGGAGGGGGUAGAAGCUAUAAUGUUUCUGUCUUUCUAAUCUCUAUACUGCUCUAGCUAGUCAAUGGUAUAUAUUUAAUAAGUAUUGAUUGAAUUAGAUUGAAUAUAAAAUAUUAAAUGGCAUUACAGUUAUAAUAAAUUUCCAUGUUAUUGAAUUAUUGCAUUCUGUCUAUUAAAGGAUAUUAUUUCUAGUUUCAUAAUACUUAAAGAUCAAUGCUAUUUUUCAGCUUUGAACUUCAACUCUAAAUGAAGGAAAACUGUAACGGUGAAAUUUCAAAUAGCUGUAAUUCCUCAAAGAGCAGUGACAUAGGCUUAAUACAGAACAAUUACAGCUGGGCCACAUCCUUUAGUCAGUCAUUUGUUUUUCUUACCAAAUCCUUCUAUUAAGACAAACAAAUUCUGGAUCUGACUGAAGAGUAGGAAAUGUAGAAAGCCUUUCAUUUUUAUGUGAAAUGAAAAUAAAAUUUUCAUUGCAUGAAAUUUCAUUGCAUGUGAAAUUACACUUUAAAAUAAUCACAUCAACUUCUGUUUCAAUAAAAAAUUAUUUCAAUUAGAUAAAAAUAACAAUAAUAAAACAAAUCACCAAGGCAAAUAACUUUUAAAAGAUAAAAGUCAUUGAGGUUAAAGAAUAUUAAGAAUAUUAAUUUAUAAAAACAUAAACAUACCCUUGCUAUAGUUUUUUGUCUUGUGUCCCCUUAAAAUUUCAGGAGUGUUUCUUGCUUAGAAAUCAAGGAUGUCUGAGUGGCAGGACUUGGACGGGCUGCGAAGGAAAUAUUUAUGUCUUUAAUUCCCUUAUUAAGGAUCCUGUCUUUCAUUCCAGCCUCAGGCCUGGUGUAGGCAGGACAGGAAAGCUCAGAGAUGGUGGGUGGGUACAGAAACUUCAAGACUAGUCAGAUGCAGCAGACAGGGUGGAGCGCUGACGACAGGAGCCUUGUGAGUCCCCAGUUGCUGCCUUGGUUAGGGACCCUGGGCAUGAUGCUUACUAACUACGCAAUCCAAUCUACUCCCGUACAGAUUUUAGAAGCACAGUUGAAUGUGCUAAAAUGGAAUUCCUACCUACUCAGAACAUUAUACUUCUGUGUGCCCAUAUGCCCAACUUAUUUCCAAAUAUAUUUGGGAAAAAUAAAAUAUGGAUUCUUGGUACUAAAGAGAUAGAAUAUAGUGCAUGUGACCAUUUAUUUUUGUAGUUUCCUUUGGGGUUUUUGUCAUACUCUAGAGGACUUGUGUUGGUGGCACAUGUGUUCCCUAUUCUAGGCAUUGGUACAUCACUGCCUUGCUCAUGGGCCAGUCAGGUCUGUUUCCUCUUGAAUUUAGAACUGGCAUCCAGAGGGAUGGGCGUUCAAACUAGAAAGUAUGAGAAAGCUGCACUGAGCCUUCAUCAUCAGAGAAUGACAAUCUACAGGAAAUGUCAACAAAGUAGAUUCUUAGAAUCAAGAGAAAAGCAGUGGUGACUCACCUAGUUCAGAGGUGGUGUUUCACUUAGCUCUGCAGACCAUUUCUCUUUAGGAGGAAACCAAAGUACAUGUUCCACUGUUGGCAUGUGAGAUUCCCUCCUCCAUGCCAAUCUUCUAUGAAAUUUUCCAUUAAGUUGAUAUCAGUGGGCUUCUGCCACUCACAACUAGAUUCCUCAUAAAGGCAAGUUUGUUCCAUUGGAAUGUGUUUCCUCACACCCCCAUUAACUUUGCAUUGGAAACCAAUGGCAUUCUAUUGCCAGUGUUAAUCAGGUAUUAUGGCCCAAGUAUUUCUCAGAACCUAAUUGCACAUGAUAAUAAUGGCACAUGGUAAUAAUUGCAUUGAUAACAAUGGCUUCUGGAACUGCUAUGUGACAGUAUGUCACAGAGGGUUCUGCCAGGUAGUUUGUCCUUUCUGCAAUGAAGGAAAUACUUUCUCUCAUGCAGAUUUAAUAACAAAAUGUAGUGCACGAGCUACAGACAAUAGCCAGGUCUUGCAAUGUAAAGCCUGGGCUGCAGCCUAGCUCACAGAUCCAGGCAUAGAGCCCAGUGCCAGCCCUCCAAAGAGUGGGCAAUCCAGGAGCAUUUGAGUUUUUCCUGUAGCUAUUCAACAAAUACACAAGGAGGUGUUCUGCUUUGGCUUACCAUUUAUUGUAGUUCUUAUGCAGCGAUAGUUUUCUAGUUGUCUUCUGUAGAAACUGAAAAGUCAUACAGAAUCAUUUAGUUCCUCUUUCAGACAGUACCUGACUUGCCCAGAAACAGGUGGAGCUUCUCCUAUAAAUACAAGGCCUUCUUUCUUGCCUUGACUGCAGUGAGGGAGAUUUGGCGCUUCUGGUUGAUAGUCACAUUUGUAAACUUGCAGUCUUCUCUAAGAUAGCUUUACACUUAAAUUUCAAAUCAAUUGAAAAUGAAACUCUUGACCAUCUUUUUCAUCAUCUAGAUUUGGAUACCCUUGAGAGCAAAGAGGGAUGCUAUUAAUAAUAAAGACAGGACAACAGGCCUCGGGACUGACCCAGGCAAACUAGAUGAUGCUGUCAGCCUGCCCUCAGGUUCCACGCAUGGUUUCUGAGUAACUUGCAUACUGAGAAGCCUAAGGAUUCUUGGUGUCAUUUUUGACCUACCAUCAUUCUCAGGCUCUGGACUCUCACUGGGUCCUGUAGUCCUGUUGACAGCUUCAGCCUCAAUUCAUACUUUCCACUCUAGGUUUGAAUUUUUUCUCUGCUUUUGUACACAGUGAUUUCCCAUUCUAUCACAUAAUCUUGGCUUUGAGGUAACUACAUUUGAUAUAUUAUAUCCAGCAUUUUAUAAGUGUUUGGAAUUGGACCAAGGCCCCUUCUUCAUCAAAUUAUUUUCCAGAUUUCAUUAUAAAUGAGGAUUUGACUUUCCCUGAAUUUCACAUACCCAGAAUGCCAUUUCUGAUGUUUGUCAUGAGCAGAAUUGACACACAGGAAAGCACAGCCAAAAUCUAAAUCUGAGUUCAUCACAAGGCAGAAAGAUUGUCUAAAAAGAAAAAUAAAACUGUCUUCUACCCUAAAAUAUUUAAUAUUUGAACUAAAGUCAGUCCUCUGAUACUCUGAUGGCAGUGUGGCUACAAGUUUUAAACUUGGGGGAGGAACUGGGAUUAUUUGUUUUACCCUUUUUUUUUCAGCCAGCUUUCUGUCACUAUAAGAAAAUACCAGAGAGACACAACUUAAAACAGGAAAAUUUUCUUUUGUCUCAUGGUUUCAGACCAUAGUUGGCUGACUCCAUUGCUUUUGAGCCUGUGGCAAGGCAGAAUAUCAUGACAGGAAGCAUUUGGUGGAGCAGUGGUGCUCUCCUCAUGGUGGCCAGGAAGCAUGAGAGAGAGAAGGGGCUGGGGUCCCAGUGUCCCUUCAAGGCCACACCUCCAGUGACCUAUCUUCCUUCUACUUGGCUCCAACUCUUGACUGUCCCAUCACCUUCCAAUAAGUACCACAGAUUGAGUACCAAGCCUUUAGCUUUAGUGACAAAAGGUUAGGUGUUAUUUGUGGACUGCUCAUUUUUGAGUAAGAAUUUGGGGGUCACCGCAUGACACUGGCCACUGAAUGGAGCCUCCAGGAAUGUGGAGCACGUGCCGGGAAGCUGACGUCCACAUGCCUUGCAGGGGCAGGGACCGUCAGUGGGCACACUUCUCAGUUCUCAGGUUCCACUGUCUUCAAGCAAGUCUCUUACCCAGUAACCUCGGUUACAGGACUUGAUGCCUUAGCUCAGAGGCUCGGUGGCAGUGCUGCAGCAGUCUGCACAGGGCUGGGCUCUGACAGGGACUGCUGAGGCCCCGGGGAGCAGGGAUGUGCACAGACUCACCAUGUUAUUUUUUCUUUUGGCAUUUGAAAAGUGUCAGAUUAUAUUGUGGACUGAUCCACACUGGAAGGUUAUUAAAGUAAAUAAGCAGAAGGCUGCCAAACACAUAAGAUAGCCUUUCUCAGGUUUCCUAAAGGAAAACUGGCUGGGGAUUGUUGGAGGAUGCUGGAUUUACAUCUCAAGAAUCGAGCUCUCUCUGUUCUACAAGUAGACCCCUCACACAUGUCCACUGUCCCUUCUCACCAUAACUCUCAGCACUGCUUUGUCCAAGGGCAAGUUCAAACCAAUCCAAGCGUCCACCAACAGGAGAAUGAAUAGGCAGCAUGGUGUACUGUAUAACUAUAUGGUGAAAUAUUACUCAGCCAUGGAAAAAAGGGCAUGCUGAUGCAUAUUACUAUGUAGAUAACCUGGACAAUGUGGAAAGUGAAAUAAGUCAAUCACAAUGGACAAGUUCUGCAUGAUUCCAUUUGCAUGAAAUAUCUAGAACAGGCAAAUUCAUAGACAUAGAAAGUAGACUCAAGGUUACCAGGGGCUGGGGUGGAGGAGGGAGUGGGAAUUAGCAUUAAAUGGAUAUAGAAUUCAUGGUGGUGAGGUUGUGAAAGUACUUAGUGCCACUGAACUGUACACUUAACCUGGUUAACCCAGCAGAUUUUAUGUUACAUGUACUUUAACACACACAAAAGAAAGAGGGAGAGAGACAGAAAGAGAGAGAGGCACACACUCCCACUUCUGGAGAAAUGGAGUGGACAUACUUUUCCCCAUUUCUUCUGCAGCGAAAGCUCUGCACAUGGCAAACCCAAGAAGUGACCCACCUGUGAGUUUCCCGGGUUUUCUUUUUGCCUCUCACACCCCAGGUGUGGGGCCAAGAAGUCAGCCACCUGCAGGCAACAACAGUUGCUGGGAAGACGAAGAAGAAAGAAGCCCUGGGGCGCGGGCUUGGCACUGAAGGUGCUGGUUUCAGAUUUGAUGGGUGAUGAAGGAUCUGCCAUAGGGGGAACCUGUCUUUGGGUCUGGGGAUAGGGUGACCCCGUCUUUGGGUCUGGGAGCAGCUCCAGAUCGGUGGAUGCAAAGCUUCUGGUGGGUCUCAAAGCCACCCACAACUCCUCUAAACUCUCCAAAUACAAAGCCUAUGCUGGGAUCUAAAUGUGACCUCUUGACUCAUUUCUAAUCCUCACUGGAAAUUUUCAAAGACCAAUUGGAUCCCCUAGGUGGGGUCACCUUGAUUAUGUAACUCAUUAUCGUGACUGCAGAAGCCACCCAAUCUCAGGCAAUUGUUUCCAAAUAAACAGAGUUACUCAGGAGAACUUAUGCCCAGACCUGUCAUUGUUCCAACACUUUUAUACAAGAACUGAGUUUCUAAAAUUCAAACUCUUAUCCCUAGUAAAGAUUAGUUAACUGUUAAUCCUGUGAGAAAAGCAAAAUUUAACACAAAAAGGAACCCCAGUGGCAAGUCUCUCUGCUUCCUUGUAAACAUCAAGAUAAAGAGUGAGGUAAAGGCUGGAGGUGAAAUUUCAUUUUCGUCCCUCACUUUCUUUGCUGUGCCGAAAAAAAUACUCAGCAAAACUCUCUGUGCCUUUGUUUUCUUAUCUGUAAAAUUGGAGUAAUGCUAAUAAUAAAGAAUCUAAAAAUUAUUAAAAAGUUCACUGCAUACAAUUUUCAUCACAAAUUCAUAAAUCUUGGAACGCAGGGACUCUCUUCAUCUUUAGAACAUUCCAGAAAAACCUAGUCUGCUUGCUGCCUUAUAGACAUGCUCAGGGAGGGCUUAACUGACCAAAGCUCUGUAUCCAUGGCUGAGUAUUCAAGUCCGCUGGAGCUGCAGGGGACAUACACAAUCUCAUCUUUGCAUCCCUGGGGCUGAAGAACUAUGUCCCGGGGGCCACAGGUCCUGUUCUGGAUGGCUUAGAAAUCUACCCACUCCCUAAUCCUGGGCUGGAAUGUCUCAGUGGCAGGGCUGAUGGGUACAGUCCUUCAUUAGAAGUUCUGAGAAACAGUCAUCUCUCAUUUAUAUAUCUUCCUCAGAGUUUCAGCCUUAUCUUGGCUUCCUCAAAUCUAACUAAUCUAGCCACAAAGCUACUCGAUAAAGAAGUGGAAUUUUUAAUUCCUAGGUUGCAAAUUAAGAAACCUGUGCCUGUGGGGAGCAGGUUAAGUGGUUAUGUCACUGGAAAGCAUUCAAUUUUUUGGUGGUGCUGGGGAUUGAACCCAGGGCCUUAUGCAUGCCAGGCAAGCAUUCUACCAACUGAGCUAUAUCUCCAGCCCCUAAAGCAUUCAAAUUUAAGUAUAUAAAAAGUAUAAAUAAAGUUCAACACUUACUUCAUAUUUUAUCCAUUUGGUUCUAUUUGUCAGGCACCAAAAGAGAAGGAUUUGACAUUCAUAUCCUUUGCCUGUAUUUCCUCUUCCUGAAUGAUCUGUGUAACUUUAAUUUUCUAAAUCACAAGGUGGUAGGUUAACUUUAGUGUAAGAAAAAUGUAGAUCUGGAGAUCACUUUUUGAGAAGUCUGUCUAGAUAUUUAAUUAAGAAAGUCUCUCAUUAAGAAAACAGGUAACAGAAUUUUUUAAUUUUUACCUCAGUCUCAAGUAGUCAAUUAUUAGUUAAAAUGCAUUUACAGGAUAUCCUAAGUCAAGGGUUAAUGAAAUUUGUCAUUUAUUUCACCUUCUGUAAGAGGAUUACCACAAACUUUAUUCUUGGGUGUCUUGCUUAUUAUUUACAUGAAUUAUUUAUCUUAUGUCUUGAAAUUUAAUACAUGUCAUAGAGCUGCAAAUUACACGAUCCAUCUUGGGUUUUGUAGUUUGCUGUCUAAAUGGGUAAUCAAUCUCAGCUAUUAGUUUUAUUUAUUAAGCCCAGCUGGAGAAGUAGAAGUUUGACCCCAUCUUACAUUAUGCUAAAAACAGGAAUGGUUCGUCCAGAAUGUUAAAGGCAGUGCAGCUAAAGGCAAAACCAAUUUAAGUGAAAGGUAAAUUAAUAAAUACUGGGCCAAUCCUUCGUGUCAGGAUUAUAGGAGGAGAUUAAUAUAUUGUCCCUGCCAAGACAGAAACCAGAGCAUGCUGGCCAACAACAACAACAACAAUAACAAAAAAACACUGAAUUACAUCAUGGUUUCAAGAGUCAUUCUGAAUCAGUAAAACAAACUUUGGAAAGUUUAAGAAAUAAACUCUCAGAUGGCAAGACUUACCAGUUUCCUCUUGUUUAAUUUUUUUCCCAUACUAUUGGUCUAUCCUAAGACCUUCAAGCAAAAUGGAUCAGAAUGGUCUAAGAGCCAUCUAGGAAUAGUAAUGCUGAGAAAAACUGAUAGUGAGAUCAGUUUUUCUGAGUUACUCUUUGUCUGGCUGCCUUUCAUUUGAGAGUACAGAACAGAGGAAGAUUUAGGCACUGUGACCAGGCCUCUUGGCUUGGGGGGUUUGAGGGGAAGGAGGAUGGGUUACAGAAUAAGAAACUAAACUCAAAAUUUUCAGCACAAAAUCUGCUAUUCUCAUGUUUUUUUCUUUACCUCAAAUUAAAACUUAUAUUUAUCACCCAAAUUCUUAACCCAGUUUUUACUUUUAGACUUUCUAAACAGCUAAAUACUUAGCUUUUUUAUGAACUAGAAGAGUAUGCAGAAUCCCAGAACUUUGGCUACUAAAAAAUACUGCAGAAAGAGAAUGUGGCGUGCUGUGGUCGUGAUGAUUGAGUCUUAAACGCUGUGUGUGAAUAUCAUUUCUCCGCAGCGGGGUCUCUGUGAGUCCUUUUUUCUCUGCUAGAACGUUGUCCUCCCUCACCCUGCUGUGUUGUACAGGCAGCCUUUAACUCAGUGUCCCAGUUAUUUGGGGGAAGUUUUCUAAGUCUUCAGAGGAACCCAGGUCCUCCUCUGUUCUGGAGUCUCCUAUCCUGUCCAAGGACUAACUUUGAUGGCAGGAAAAUUGACAUUACUUGAUUGGUGUCUGUCUCUCCCAAGGGAAAGGGGCCCCUGGGGUCAAGGGCUUUGCCACCUUUCCUCCUCAGUUUGCCUCCAGCUCUUAGCGCAGCACUUGGAGCUUAGCAGACCUCCAUUAAUACUUGUUGAAUCAAUGACUGAGAAGUGAGAGCAUUUUGCUUUUGAAUUGGUGAGAAAAGGGAUGGGAAACACAACUUUUGUGCCUUCCCAAACCAUCAUGGAACGUGUAUUCCUGAAACCACUAAGAAGGACGAUUUCUCCCAGGGGUUAUAAGUGCAGGUCUGACUAUGUUCAGCGCUGGCUGAACUGGAAAUUACUAAAAAUGGUGCUGAAAGCUUCUCUGUUGUGCAACAAAUGUAUAACUGGCUUUAAAGUUGACAUCGAUUUUCUAUCUUGCAGUGGGAAGAAGGAAGAAGGAGACAACUGAGAUGAACCUCACCUGUAUAUUGUUGGGUCACUCCUGAUUCUCCCACUCCUGCAGCGUCUGCGCAGCUUCCGGGACAUGUUUUAUUGCUCCAAUUCAACAGGAGAGAUCAACAACUGGACCCAGUUUGUGGAGACUGGAAAACAGGAUUUCCUUUUGUUUUAUGACCUCAGUUUCCACCUCCUCCACCUCUGUGGCCUCUAGUUCCUCUUUCCUUUGUCAGGGAAGGUGUCACCUAUGGGUUUCCUCCUCAAAAUUGCAAAGGAAAUUCAAGAUAUAGUUCCUUUUCAGUCUGCAUCUUGGCUUCGUGACAAAACUCAGCUAUUGUUUUGAAGAGAAAUAUGAAAUGGAAUAGUAAAAAUUGAGAUCUAUGCAAGAAGUUCCCUCUAGUUCAUUUUCAUCUUGUCUUCAAUUAGCUCAACAAUAUGUGUAUUGCACAUUUUGAAACAGAAGGCACUGUGGUAUGUGUUAGCUAAUAAAAAACAUU
rnacentral:lncRNA from 1 species